rnacentral:rRNA from 1 species
GAUGAACGCUAGCUACAGGCUUAACACAUGCAAGUCGAGGGGCAGCAUGAACUUAGCUUGCUAAGUUUGAUGGCGACCGGCGCACGGGUGAGUAACACGUAUCCAACCUGCCGAUGACUCGGGAAUAGCCUUUCGAAAGAAAGAUUAAUACCCGAUGGCAUAGUUCUUCCGCAUGGUAGAACUAUUAAAGAAUUUCGGUCAUCGAUGGGGAUGCGUUCCAUUAGGUUGUUGGCGGGGUAACGGCCCACCAAGCCUUCGAUGGAUAGGGGUUCUGAGAGGAAGGUCCCCCACAUUGGAACUGAGACACGGUCCAAACUCCUACGGGAGGCAGCAGUGAGGAAUAUUGGUCAAUGGACGAGAGUCUGAACCAGCCAAGUAGCGUGAAGGAUGACUGCCCUAUGGGUUGUAAACUUCUUUUAUACGGGAAUAAAGUGAGGCACGUGUGCCUUUUUGUAUGUACCGUAUGAAUAAGGAUCGGCUAACUCCGUGCCAGCAGCCGCGGUAAUACGGAGGAUCCGAGCGUUAUCCGGAUUUAUUGGGUUUAAAGGGAGCGUAGGCGGACGCUUAAGUCAGUUGUGAAAGUUUGCGGCUCAACCGUAAAAUUGCAGUUGAUACUGGGUGUCUUGAGUACAGUAGAGGCAGGCGGAAUUCGUGGUGUAGCGGUGAAAUGCUUAGAUAUCACGAAGAACUCCGAUUGCGAAGGCAGCUUGCUGGACUGUAACUGACGCUGAUGCUCGAAAGUGUGGGUAUCAAACAGGAUUAGAUACCCUGGUAGUCCACACAGUAAACGAUGAAUGCUCGCUGUUUGCGAUAUACAGUAAGCGGCCAAGCGAAAGCGUUA